GGAAUAUUGGACAAUGGGGGAAACCCUGAUCCAGCCAUGCCGCGUGAGUGAAGAAGGCCUGAGGGUUGUAAAGCUCUUUCAGCGGGGACGAUGAUGACGGUACCCGCAGACGAAGCCCCGGCUACCCCCGUGCCAGCAGCCGCGGUAAUACGGAGGGGGCUAGCGUUGUUCGGAAUCACUGGGCGUAAAGCGCACGUAGGCGGUCCGUCAAGUCAGGUGUGAAAGCCCCGGGCUCAACCUGGAAACUGCACUUGAUACUGACGGGCUAGAGUACGGGAGAGGGUAGUGGAAUUCCCAGUGUAGAGGUGAAAUUCGUAGAUAUUGGGAAGAACACCAGUGGCGAAGGCGGCUACCUGGACCGGUACUGACGCUGAGGUGCGAAAGCGUGGGGAGCAAAC
rnacentral:rRNA from 1 species